GAGUUUGAUCCUGGCUCAGGAUGAACGCUGGCGGCGUGCCUAAUACAUGCAAGUCGAGCGAACAGAUAAGGAGCUUGCUCCUUUGACGUUAGCGGCGGACGGGUGAGUAACACGUGGGUAACCUACCUAUAAGACUGGAAUAACUCCGGGAAACCGGGGCUAAUGCCGGAUAAUAUUUAGAACCGCAUGGUUCUAAAGUGAAAGAUGGUUUUGCUAUCACUUAUAGAUGGACCCGCGCCGUAUUAGCUAGUUGGUGGGGUAAUGGCUUACCAAGGCAACGAUACGUAGCCGACCUGAGAGGGUGAUCGGCCACACUGGAACUGAGACACGGUCCAGACUCCUACGGGAGGCAGCAGUAGGGAAUCUUCCGCAAUGGGCGAAAGCCUGACGGAGCAACGCCGCGUGAGUGAUGAAGGUCUUCGGAUCGUAAAACUCUGUUAUUAGGGAAGAACAAAUGUGUAAGUAACUGUGCACGUCUUGACGGUACCUAAUCAGAAAGCCACGGCUAACUACGUGCCAGCAGCCGCGGUAAUA
rnacentral:rRNA from 1 species